rnacentral:rRNA from 1 species
AUGCGGGCACUCGCGGCCGCAGCAGCAACUGCAGUAGUGGCGGCGCCUACCCCCGCGCGACUCCUCCUCGUCUCCGCCCGCCGCGCUGCUCCGCGAUUCGGUCAUUGUAGAGCAUCUCCGUUCGCAAGGUCACCUAGGAGCGCCUGCUACGCUUCCACCACCAUGGGAGACGAGACCUCCACUUCUGCCUCAGGCUCGGCCCAGGAACCUGCAGCACCGGCCCUGCAGGGAGCUGGGAGUGUCAAGCAGCAGAUCUCCAACUUGGUGGCUCUGUCACUCCGUGCGACAGUGCCUGAAGUGGAUGUAGAACCGAUAGUUGAAGUUUGCACGGGAAAGUUUGGUGACUACCAGUGCAACAAUGCAAUGGGAUUGUGGUCAAAAGUAAAGGGAUCCGGGACAAGCUUCAAAAACCCCAAUGCAAUCGGACAGGCGAUUGCUAAGAACCUGCCUGCCUGUGAUGUAAUUGAAUCAGCCUCUGUUGCUGGUCCUGGUUUCGUGAAUAUUGUCUUAUCCAAGAGCUGGGUUGCUAAGAGAAUACAAGAUAUGCUUGUGAAUGGCAUCACAACUUGGGCAUCAAUUCUGCCAGUUAAGAGGGUAGUACUUGAUUUCUCAUCCCCUAAUAUUGCAAAGGAAAUGCAUGUUGGGCAUCUAAGGUCAACAAUCAUCGGAGACACCUUAGCACGCAUGUUUGAAUUCUCAAAUGUUGAAGUUCUCCGACGCAAUCAUGUGGGAGACUGGGGUACACAGUUUGGAAUGCUCAUAGAAUUUCUAUUUGAAAAGUUUCCGAAUUGGGAGGAACUUGGCAGCCAGGCUAUUGGUGACCUUCAGGUUUUCUAUAAAGCAUCCAAACAAAGAUUUGAUGAAGAUGCAGAAUUUAAAGAUAGGGCCCAACAAGCUGUUGUUCGGUUACAGGGAGGGGAGGAGAAGUAUCGUGCUGCUUGGAAAAAGAUAUGUGAAAUCAGCAGGAACGAAUUUGACCAGGUUUACAAGCUCUUAGAUGUACAACUUGAAGAAAAGGGGGAGAGCUUUUAUAAUCCCUAUAUUCCGCAAGUCUUGGAGAAAUUGAGUAGCCAAGGUUUGAUCGAGGAAAGUGAGGGUGCUCGUGUAAUAUUCAUUCAAGGUCAUCAAAUUCCUUUGAUAGUCGUUAAAAGAGAUGGUGGCUUCAACUAUGCCUCGACAGACUUGGCUGCUCUUUGGUACCGGCUUAAUGUUGAAAAGGCGGAAUGGAUAAUAUAUGUAACAGAUGUUGGUCAGCAGCAGCACUUUGAUAUGUUUUUCAAGGCUGCCAGGAUGGCUGGUUGGCUUCCAGAUCCAAAGGAAAAGAAGUUCCCAAAAACGAGUCAUGUUGGGUUUGGCCUUGUUCUUGGAGCAGAUGGCAAGCGCUUCCGAACUCGUAGUACUGAGGUUGUUCGGUUGGGAGACCUACUUGAUGAGGCUAAAUCUCGAAGUAAAUCAGAACUUCUCCAGCGUCUCACUGAAAAUGGUAAAAUUGUUGACUGGACUGAUGAGGAACUAGAGCAAACUUCAAAGGCAGUAGGAUAUGGCGCUGUCAAGUAUGCGGAUCUGAAGAACAACCGACUGACUAAUUAUACGUUCAGCUUUGAUCAGAUGCUAAGUGACAAGGGAAAUACCGCUGUCUAUCUUCAGUAUGCUCAUGCUCGUAUCUGCUCCAUUAUUCGAAAAUCCAACAUGGAUGUAGAAGAGCUAAAAGUGAGUGGGAACAUUUCUCUUGCUCAUCCAGAUGAGCGUGUCUUGGGACUGUAUCUUAUCCGUUAUGCAGAGAUUGUUGAAGAGGCAUGCACCAAUCUCCUUCCCAGUGUUCUGUGUGAAUACCUAUACAACUUAUCCGAAAUGUUCACAAGGUUCUACACAAACUGCCAGGUUGUUGGGUCACCGGAGGAGCCAAGCCGGCUGUUGCUUUGCGAAGCGACGGCGGUCGUCAUGCGACAAUGCUUCCAGCUGCUUGGGAUCACACCGGUUUACAAGCUGUGA